GUGAUUACACGCCACAAAGCAGUGACCUCACAAUUACAAAAGCUUUCAUCCAUGGAACAUGGAAAUAAGCUGCUGGGGGAAGACAAAACUUUGUGGAGAUCGAAUGGCUGUGGGCCUGAACUGGUAUGAGGACUGUUCCGUGGGGUGAAUGCUUUCAACGACAUCCAAAGCCUUGGAAAAAGAAAAGGAUCUCAUCACAGAUGAGCGGGGCAGGAUGAGCCCUACUCUGCAGAAACAAACAGCCUAAACCCCAAAUGAGAUGCAUCACCAGCCUAACCGGAAGGAGCUACAGGGAUCCGUGUAGAAGUGAAUCCUGAGACAGGCCAGGAAUGCAAGAGCAGCUACACGGUAAGGGAAGAGACGUCACUGGCAAGACCGCACUCACACGUGACUGGGAUUUGAGCUUCUGAAGGACAUCUAGAGCUGGUCCAGUGAGUCUGCAGUGAUGACAUUUAGAAUAGUGGACCCAGGAAUGGCCUUCUGCGCAUAAGAGGGACCUGCCAGACGUCACUGUAGAACCGAGAGACGGUUCGAGGGCAAGGGACUUUGGGGUGCUAACAUGAAUGGUUCCCGGAAAACAGGAGACAACGCCACCUGAUGCUGUUCCCUGGCAGGAUUCAAAGACCUCCCACAUCACUGAAGCAGGAAGGAUUGCACAGGUUUAAGAUGAUGACUAAAAAGGACUUUUCUCCAGAGCAAAAAAGGAGAAGAAGAAGAAAGAGAAGUAGAAACAAUGUCCAUAUUUGGAUUUUUUAGAAUAUUUGUUUAAAUUACAUAAAAUUUAUUUUGGUGCAAAUUAUGAGGA
rnacentral:lncRNA from 1 species